UACGUAGGGUGCUAGCGUUGUCCGGAUUUAUUGGGCGUAAAGAGCUCGUAGGCGGUUUGUCGCGUCGUCCGUGAAAACUCACAGCUUAACUGUGAGCUUGCGGUCGAUACGGGCAGGCUAGAGUUCGGUAGGGGAGACUGGAAUUCCUGGUGUAGCGGUGAAAUGCGCAGAUAUCAGGAGGAACACCGGUGGCGAAGGCGGGUCUCUGGGCCGAUACUGACGCUGAGGAGCGAAAGCGUGGGGAGCGAACAGG
rnacentral:rRNA from 1 species